rnacentral:rRNA from 1 species
UACGUAGGGCGCAAGCGUUGUCCGGAAUUAUUGGGCGUAAAGAGCUCGUAGGCGGUCUGUCGCGUCGGAUGUGAAAAGCCCGGGGCUUAACCCCGGGUCGUGCAUUCGAUACGGGCAGACUAGAGUGUGGUGAGGGGAGAUCGAAUUCCUGGUGUAGCGGUGAAAUGCGCAGAUAUCAGGAGGAACACCGGUGGCGAAGGCGGAUCUCUGGGCCAUACUGACGCUGAGGAGCGAAAGCGUGGGGAGCGAACAGG